CUUAACACAUGCAGUCGAGCGGAAAGGCCCCUUCGGGGUACUCGAGCGGCGAACGGGUGAGUAACACGUGAGAACCU
rnacentral:rRNA from 1 species